rnacentral:lncRNA from 1 species
CUGAAUCAUGGGGGCGGGUUUUUCGUAUGCUCUUCUCGUGAUAGUAAGUCUCACGAGUUCGUUAUAAAAGGCAGUUCCCCUGCACAUGCUCUCUUGCCUGCUGUCAUGCAACGUGUCUUUGCUCCUCCUUCACCUUCCGCCAUGAUUGUGAGGCUUCCCCAGCCAUGUGGAAACAUAUUCGCAGAGCACCCACUAGGUGCCAGUAAAUGUAUGAGAAGUCCUGUGGAAUAAGACUGAAGUUGUCCUUGCCUUCAAGCAACUUGCAAUUGCCUAAGAACACAGUUUAAAACCACAAAACUAAGCCUUGGAAAUCACAUGCUGUCAUUUCUGCGAUCGGUCAUAACCAGUCCUGAUUCCAUGUUAGAGGAGACUACAUAAGGACACAGGUACCAGAAGAUGAAAAAUUUGGAGUCUAGUGAAAAGAAGUGACUUGCUCAAAAUCACACAGCACAUGAAGAACAGAGCCUCUAUGAUGAAUUUCUUGACAGAUCAAGAACUACUUUGGACUUUAUGUCUUAUUACUCAAGGAAGACAUUUCCUAAGCUACAGAGGCCAUAGAUAGUGAUUCCUCUGAUGGAUCUUGGCAAAGUAAGUGGAAAACUUUCUGGAAAGAAUUCACAACUCUAGAUGUCAUUAAGAACAUUUGGGAUUCCUGGGAGGGGAUCAAAAUAUCAUUAACGGGAAUUUGGAAGAAGUUGACUCCAACCCUCAUGGAUGAAAUCGAGGGAUUCAAGACUUCAGUGGAGGAAGUAACUGCAGACAUGGUGGAAAUAGUGAGAGAACUAGAAUUAGAAGUGAAGCCUGAAUAUGUAACUGAAUUGCUGCAAUCUUACGAUGAAAUUUUAAGAGAUAACGAGUUGUUUCUUAUGAAUGAGCAAAGAAAAUGGUUUUUUGAGAUGGAAUCUACUGCUGGUGAAGAUGCUCUAAACAUUGGUGAAAUGACUAUUUAGAAUAUUACAUAAACUUAGUUGAUAACAUGGUGGCAGGGAUUGAGAAGAUUGACUCCAAUUUAGGGAGAGAAUUACUACUGCAGGUAAAAUGCUGUCGGACAGCGUUGCAUGCUACAGAGAAAUCUUUCAUCAGAGGAAAAAUCAAUUGAUGGAGAAAACAUUAUUGUCAUCUUAUUUUAAGAAAUUACCACAGCCACCCCAACCUUCAGCAACCAUCUCUGAUGAGUCAGCAGCCAUCAACAUCAAGGCAAGACCCUCCACCAGCAAAAUGAUUACAACUUGCUAAAUGCUCAGAUUAUUAUUAGCAUAUUUUAGCAAUAAAAUAUUUUUAUUUUUAAGAUGGGAGUUUACCUGCACAAAACUCUUUUUUUGCCUGCUACCAUCCACGUUAGAUAUGACUUGCUCCUCCUUGCCUUCCAUCAUGAUUGUGAGGCCUGCCCAGACAUGUGGAACUCUGAUAUAAGUCUUUUGAGGUACAGCCUGGCACAAAAAGGAUGAGAUUUGUGGGCAGAAUUUUGGAAGAAUAUCUCCCGAGAGAACAUUCAGGACAGAGCCCUACAUCUCCCCGAGAAGAGGUGAAAGAGACUGCUCCUAUCUGCUUCUGCAUCAAACUUCAGGCUCAAGACCUGUCCAGAAAAAAAAAUGUCUUCUUUCAGGGAUGAACUGCUGUCCUCAUCAGACGCCUUAUUUUGUUUAGAAUUCAAGCUCACUUGACAGGUUAUUGUGAAGAUUAAAUGAAUUAAUACAUGUGAAGCAACUGUAACAACUCUUGACAUGCGUGGGCUGGACUUCCAGAAGAAACGUUGUCAGAACUCUGCCCAACUGAAAACAA